UACGUAGGGGGCAAGCGUUAUCCGGAUUUACUGGGUGUAAAGGGAGCGUAGACGGCAUUGCAAGCCAGAUGUGAAAGCCCGGGGCUCAACUCCGGGACUGCAUUUGGAACUGUAGAGCUAGAGUGUCGGAGAGGCAAGUGGAAUUCCUAGUGUAGCGGUGAAAUGCGUAGAUAUUAGGAGGAACACCAGUGGCGAAGGCGGCUUGCUGGACGAUGACUGACGUUGAGGCUCGAAAGCGUGGGGAGCAAACAGG
rnacentral:rRNA from 1 species